rnacentral:lncRNA from 1 species
UUGAAAGCUACUUUCAGAAGUGUGAGGUUCCCACUAAAAGAAGUGAACUCUGAUGCUGACUUUAAUGAUUCUAGGUUUGAACUGAACACACCUCCCAUGGUGAGAAUGUGGAGUGGCAGGUGGCACUUCUGGAAGAUGGGCCAUGUUCCUGCCUGUUUGUCCCUCCUCACCCCUGUUCCCAACUAUGACUAUAGCAGUUCUGGCCUGUAAAUAUGUAUGACAAGCAGAGACGUAGCAUCUUUCAGGGCUCUACAGUGAGGAUUUCCACAGCUGGGGACCCAGCAGAGGGAGAGGCAGCUCAUUCAAGGGGAACAACAAGUUAUCUUGACAUAAUGGGCCUGGAAUGUAGAUGUGGGAUCUGUCAAAGGAGCUUCUCUGUUCUCCAUAUUGACAGCUCAUGCUUGCUCCAUGACAUGCUUGCUGCAGAAACAUGACCUGGAACUGAUGUGUUCUGACAGAAACAAGCUGGGGGAUUUUGGGCAUGCCUGAUGGUGCUGAACUGUUGAAGAGGAAUGGGGUCAUGUAGCUGUCAGAAGAGGGUCCCCAGUCCCACCGUCAUUGCCUUCUUGAAAGCCAUGCUUCUUGGCCUAUUAAAUCCACACGGAGGCUGUUCCUGGAACUCUUGGAAGAAUGUGCUGUUAUCUGAAUGUGGGAUUUUACUGUACAUAGAAUACAACUCUGUUGUGAUUACAUACAUGGUCUUCAAAAAGUUCUUGUUCAGUGGAUGACAUUGUAAAAUAGCUGAAGGCAUGCUAGAAACCAUCUGUAGAUGGCAUUUAAA